AGGCAAAACUGUUCUUCAAAAAUGAGGGAGAGAUUAAGACAUUCUGAAGUAAACAAAAACUCAGGGAACUCAAUACUAAACUGCAAGAAAUGCUAAGGGAGUCAUGCAGUUUGACAUGAAAGAACACUAGCCAGCAACCAAAAGCCAUAUGAGGAAAUAAAGAUCUUAGGAAAGGAAAAUAAAUGAAUAAUUAUAAACGCUAGUAUCCUUGUAACGAUGGUGUGUAAUGAUGAUGUGUAACUUCACUUUUUUGUUUUUUGACAGGAUUUGAGACUAGGAUGCUUUAAACAAAUUAUUAGUCUAAAAGACAGUAUGAUUGUAACUUUGGUUGGUAACCCCACAUUCUAAUGCAGUAAAAAUCAUACCAUUUUAUAUGUUUAGCAUAUUAUCUAUAAAGAUACAAUUUCAUAACUUCAACAACUAAAAGGGGUGGAGAUGGAGUCAUUAAAGGAGCAAAGUUUUUGUUUGUUCCUGAAGUUAAACUGGAAUAAAUUCAUUCUUAGAAUGUAAUAACUUUAAAAUGGUAAAUGUAAUUUCUGCAAACAAAAUAUCUAAAGAAUACAUAGGAAAGGAAAUGAGAAAAAAAAGUGUUUCCUCACCAAAAAAAGCCCAACUAGGAGUCCCGUCGUGGCACAGCGGAAACGAAUCCAACUAGGAACCAUGAGGUUGAGGGUUCAAUCCCUGGCCUCACUCAGUGGAUUAAGGAUCUGGCAUUGCCGUGAGCUGUGGUGUAGGUUGCAGAUGCAGCUUGGAUCUCUCGUUGCUGUAGCUGUGGGGUAGGCCAACAGCUACAUCUCAGAUUCGACCCCUAGCCUGGGAACCUCCAUAUGCCAUGAGUGAAGCCCUCAAAAGACAAAAACAAAACAAAACAAAAACAAAAACCCAACUAAACACAACAUAAAACAGUAAUGCAGGCAUGUAAAAAACCAAUAGCAAAAUGACAGAAGUAAAUCCCUCCUAAUAGUAAUUACCUUAAAUUAAGAGGUUUACACUUUCUAAGCAAAAGUCAGAAUUGGCAGAAGGAUUUUUUUUUUUUUUUAAGUAUAUGAUCCAACUACGGACUAUCUACAAGAAACUCACUUUAGAUCUAAACACAAAUAGGUUAAAAGUGAAAAGAUGGGAAAAGCUACUUCAUGCAAAUAGUAACCAAAAGAGAAGAGGGAUGGCAAUACUAAAGGAGUCUGUGAGUUUUCCUGGAGUCAUUUGAAUUCCAAAGAUUUUUUUCCCUCUUUAACCAUGUUCUUUUAAGGCAUUUUGUACUCUGCAAUUUUCAUGAGACAUUGUUAACAAUGCAUGUGUCAUUUCUUGCACAUUAUCUGCUCUGCAUUCUCACGAUAAGUCUCUUCUAUCAAAUGAUUCAAGUAUAAAGAGACUUUCAAGAAGAGUACAUUAAGCUUUGAAGUUAAUCAAUUCCAUAUCAUUUUGUUCAUGGGUUAUAGCAGUGGGAGCCACAGUUUUAUAUUUCCUAUUGACUGGGGUGGGGGGGGUCAGUCACUGUGGUACACUUACCAUCAGCCAUAGUUAANCAUCAGUCAGAGUUAAAAAGUAAUACCAGGAAUCUCCCUCCAGUAGAGGGAAGGGAAGGGAUGGGCUGAGUGACCAUAUCUAUAAAACGGCCUUUCUGAAGAGCAGACUACAAAAUAGAGUCUGAGGGCCUUUUCUUUUUAUUGAAAGUGCUGCCUCUUAUCACAUCACUCACUGAAGAGUCAAAUAAGGACAGAACCAUGCUGCAUUUCCCUGAGAACACACAACAGGGGAUCCUCACAGUUUGGAGGAAUAUUGGCAGACCCUUGGAGUAAGGCUCUAGAGAUCAUUAAUAUAACCCUUAUAUGUUAUUAUUUUAUUGGUGAAGAACUAAAUCCUAAAGUACUUCAAGAGGCCUACAUGAUGGAAAAAAUUAUGUUUGCUGUUCACACAGCUUAAAUCAUGAAUUAGGUUGUAGAGAGGUUCAUUACAACAAUGGCUACAGUUUGGAAAAGAUCUGUGUAAUGUUACUGAGUCAGACACCUCCGAAUUUGUUUAUUCGGACUCACUGGAACCUGUUUUCUUAGCUCAUUAAGAGGGUAGUUAUUAGUUGCCCCUUGCCUGCCCUCUAAAGCUCAGUCAAAUAAAUGUACAAUUUUGUAAAUUAAGCUAAGUUAACAGUAUGAUUUGAUUGGGUUUAGCAGGAUGAAUAUAUAGACUUUACUCUUGACUAUUCUAAAAAUUCGUUUUGUUUCAUUUUGUGAAAUGAUAUCUGCUUUGUAAUUUUGCAACAUUUACUUACACUUUAAAAAAAUUGUUUCUUGAGUCCCCCAGAGUCUUUUUACAGACCAUCUCUAACUUGAAAGAAAAGGAAAGUGUCUUUUAAUGGACAAGAAAACUAGACUUUGAUUUUUUGCAUAAGGUAAGAGAAAACAAAACAAAAAUCAGGAGCACACUUGCCAUGCUCAUUCCCAUGUGCCCAAGAGGAAAAUGAAAAUAAAGACCAUGUCAAGAAAAUGGAUGCUACUAUGGGAGCUGUCAUUCAUGAUUUGGAAUUGUAUCUUCAGCAAAGUGAGGGCAAAAUCCUCUCUCUCUCAGCAGCCUAUAAACAAUUCACAUUUUUGUCCAAAGACUCUCCUUUAAGAAAUGCAGAAAAUUGAUUCCGAUGGGAAAAGGAAAUACAACUCAUGAUGAAAUGGAGGAGAAAAUACAUAUCGAUGAUUUAUCUUGUCACAUUUUAUGUCUACAUAUCGAGUGUAUCAAGGAGGUGCAUGCUCGAUGAUGAAUAAAGACAGGCUGAUGAAAACACAGACAGCUAUUUGUGGAAGCACAAAACUGUGGCUCUGAGAAUUGGAGCCCCAUCUCAGAUUGUCUUCCACUACUUACUCUCUUGAACGAGACAUGCACAUGGAUUAGAGUCUAUGCUUUAUCUAGAUGAACGCUCUUGAAUAUACAUGAGUAAACUGAGUCCUAUAAAAAUGAACUCACCCACAUUUAGAGUACCCAACUUUAUCACAUGAAUGGAUGAAGAUUCCCAAAGAUUAUUGAACCAUCUUAUGUUAAACUAGUCGGAAAGCCAUCAACUAAGUUCAGCAAGAUAUCCAAUGCCUCUCCCAUAUUUGACAUGAAAAAUAUCAGUGGGAACAGAGUUAAAUCAAGGGACUUAAUAUACAUAGUGCAGCCAGGUGUGCCACCUGAGCAUUUUCCUAGGAAGUCUUCUUUUUUAAUAGACUAUUUUCAGCAUCUUACCAAAGCCUUGCCAACCUCUGCCAUAGGUCUCAGAGAGAUGAGCUCCUCCUGUGUUUCUACAUCAGUCAAAGUCAAGAAUAUUGUGGUGUUUGGGCUCCUCUUUUACUGAGUGGAGGGAGGAUGAGGGCCCCAUUCAGAUGUCUCACACACCCUGUCCCAGAUGUUGGAGGGAAAAAGGCUCAGCCAAGAGGCAGCACUCAUCAUGGUUCCCACAAAGGCCACUGUCUUCAACCACAGUAACAGGAAGAAAAACAGAGGAAAGUGAGUAACCUGGAGUUUUGUCAUCAGCCCUAGAAUCAUAAGAUUGGCAAAUAGCUUUUUUUAAAAGGCAAUUUUCUUUUCUUUCUUUUUUUUUUUUUUCAGGGCUGCACCUGAGGCAUAUGGAGAUUCCCAGACUAGGGGUCUAAUCAGAGCUGUAGCUUCUGGCCACAGGCACAGCCACAGUUAUGGGGGAUCUCAGAUGAGUCUGUGACGUACACCACAGCUCACAGCAAUGCUGGAUCUUUAACCCACUGGGUGAGGCCAGGGAUCAAACCUGGGUCCUUGUGGGUACUAGUUGGGUUUGUUAGCCACUGAACCACGAUGGGAACUCCUAAAAGCAAUUUCUAAUCUUCUAGUUUCUUCAAUAGAAAGAUUCUAUAAAUUAUCUAUUGUUUUCAUCUUCAAUUUCCCAAUUUUCAACCUAAAAGAAAGUUUAUGUCUAGACAUGGAGAACAGACUUGUGGUUGCCAAGGGGGAGGGGGAAGGAAGUGGAAUGGAUGGGGAGUUUGGGGUUAGUAGAUGCAAAUGACUGCAUUUCCAGUGGAUCAACAAUGAGGUCCUACUGUAUAGCACAGGGAACUAUAUCCAACCUCUUGGGAUAGAAUAUGAUGGAAGAUAACAGGAGAAAAAGAAUGUAUAUAUAAGGGUAGAUGACAAGAGAGAUAAAUAGAUGACUAGGUCGCUAUGCUGUACAACAGAAAUUGACACAACACUGUAAAUCAACUAUACUCUAAUAAAAAAUUAAAAAUAAAUAAA
rnacentral:lncRNA from 1 species